UGACAACUGAGCCCCUAUGGGUGGCCUUUAGAGUCUGCAAAGCUCAUUCCAAGUUUCCCAUUGGUAGGUAAUAAACGUGAGCAGUGGGAACAUGAAGUUAAGGGGAUGAUUCUGUAAACUGGGCCCACUGAGCUGACCCCCACAUGAUUUCUUGUAAAAGGCAAUUUACUUGCAGCCUUGGCUUAAGUCAAUAGAAAUGUUACAUUCCUCAGCAUACAACCUAUGAUCUGCAGGACAAAUCCAGACAGAAAGUCUCCCUGCUGGUAAGAACACAGGUUACCUAAAGGGGGGGACUUUCGUUAUCCUUACCCAGACUAGAUUCCAGAACUCAGGGAGACAAAGAAGUUCCAGUUAGAAUCAGUGUGGGCUGAAGUGACCCAAAGCUGCCUUGGACCUUUACCAUGAGCAGUGGGGCCUUGGAAGUCUGAGGCAGUCGCGCUGUCAGAUGUCAAGAGGUGGACUGGGUGGGACUCUGGAAACUUUUCUGGACACUCUUUCCCCUGAGUGUCCCCUUCUCGCCAUUUCCUAUCUCUACUGAUAAAUUCAUCUGCUGCUCAGUGACAUGUCUGAAAUCUUUUCUGGCAUGAUCAUAAGAACCAGUAUCAGGAGCUCCAUGGCUGCCUCAGCUGUGCAGCAGAUCUUUGCUCUGUAAUGCCAUGUGCUCUUCACAACAUCCCUCCAGGUAAUUAUUACAAACAUUUUUACAGGUGGGAAAUCUGAGGCUUAAAACCAGGAGGCAAUAGAGCAAGAGUUCAAGUCUGGGUCAGUGCAACUGUGGGUCAAGAGUUCUUUCAAUUGAAGUAAGAACACCUCCUUCACAAAUGCUUCACCUUCUAACCUGCCCCAGGCACCUGGUUCUGUCUGCAAUAUUCUACAUCAUCUCCUCAUGUUUUAGUCAGCUUUUAGCUAUUAUGACUUAAAGAUCUCACCAGAACAAUUGUACAGGAGGAAAAGUUUGAGAGCUCAUGGUCUCAGAGGUCUUAGUCUAUAGAAGAUGGGCUCUAUGCCUUGGAGCUUGAGGUGAGGCAGGACAUCAUAGCGGAAGAGUGUGGCAGAGGGAAACAGCUCACAUAAUGAUCAGGAAGCAGGGACUUCAUUCUCCAGAUACAAAUAUAUACCCCAUAGCCAUGCCCUCAAUAAGCCACUUCCUCCAGCCACACCCCACCUUUCUCCAGUUACCACUCAGUUAAUCCCAUCAGGGAUUAAUUCACUGAUUAUGCUAAGGCUAAAACCCAGUCAUUUCUCCUCCAAACCUUCUUGCAUUGUUUUACAUGUGAGCUUUUGAGAGACACCACAUCUAAAUCAUAAUACCUUCUUUAAAGGAAAUGAGGCUCCCAAACACUACUGUCCCCUUUACUCACCCAGUCAACCCUUCUGCCCACCACUACCAGCGUCACUAACUAUCCUGUGACUUCCUUUCUUUGUAUUUCCAGCUCCCAGAUUCAAAGCAAACUGGGACCCCAAUGAUCACCCAACCGAAUUUUCUUUUGCAUAGAUGGGUAACAGGCCCAGAAAGAGAAAGGGACUUUCCUGAGGUGACAGGACAGUUGCAGCCUCCUCUAUCUUCUUUCUGAACCCCCUCCAUCUUCUUUUAUCACACACACACACACACACACACCUCAUUUCCUGCCACUUCCAACUUACUCCUUUGUUCCUAACCUCAACCCUCUACAGCUUUGUUCCUUGUGUGAGUGCCACCAUUCAGACACUAGUGCCCUCAUGACUGCUAACUCUGGGGUGGGGGCAUUUCCCAGUGACAGACCAGUUUCUAACUGUCCUUGGUUAAACAGUUGCUCUUGGGAGGGAAGAGAAGGAAGUGGAUUUUAUCUGCUGAUUCUGAGUCAACAGUCUGCUGGAACAACACCUAGGUCCUUGUCAAGAGAACAGGGGAUUAGAGGAGGGGCAGAGGCUUGAGGGACACCACAUCUAAACCAUAACACCUUCUUUAAAGGAAAUGAGGCUCCCAAACACUACUGUCCUCUGGUUCUGUUAUCAGAGAGAAAAGACACUAAUGGAGGAUUAUGAUGGACCCUUUUAGUUCAGGGACCUUCCCUAAACCUAGUGAAGCAAGGCUGAGAAACAAGGUGCCAUUAGGGUUUGCCAGGUUUAUGUCAGCAAUUUAACCUGAGAGGAACCAGGCCAGAAAACUUUCGUUUGUCCUUUUGUAUUUCCUGAUAGUCCAUAAGUUAGUUUUCUAACCAUUUUUGAUAUUCAUAAAUUAGGAGGGGUUUUCCCAACAAUAAAGUAUGUUGGUGCAACGUGGAUGAACCUGGAGGACAUUGAGUUAAGUGAAAUAAGCCAACCACAGGAAGACACAGACUCCACGAUCUUUUAUAGAGAACCUAAAGAAGCAGGUUCAUAGAUGUAGAAUAGAAUAGUGGUGGCCAGAGGAUGGGGAGAGUAGUGAGGUAGUGAUGGGGAGAUUGGUGAAGAGGUACAGUGUGCAGACAGGAGGGAUAUGUUCUAGUGUGCACAGUGGGGUGACUAUGGUGAAAAUAUUGUAUUGACUAUUUCAAAAUGCUAGAAGACAGGAUUUUUAUUAUUUUCACUACAAAGAAAUGAUAAAUGUGUGAGGUCAUGGAAAUGUUCAAUACCUGAUAUAUAUUAUACAAUAUAUCCAUGUGUCAAAACCAUACCAUAUGCCAUAAAUGUGUGCUGCUUAGAAAAGGGAAAUGCUUGGGAAGCUACUUGAUUGGAUCAAAGGAAGAGUUACACAGUUGGUCUAGGUGAAAUGCAGGGAUGCAGCUUUAGGCUUGAGAUGCAAAAGAAACCAGGAAUUCAAAUGCCACCUGAACACCCUUUCUUUAUACAGUAUAUCAUUGUCUUUCAUUGUAGACUAGUUUCUUCCUUAUGGCAGGAAAUGUGGAUAAGAUCUCCCUCUCACUCAUUCUGUUACCAGAGAGAAAACACUAAUGGAGGAUUAUGAUGGACCAUUCUUGGUUCAGGGACCUCCCUAAACUUAAUGAAGCAAGGCUGAGAGACAAGAUGCUAUUAGGGAUAGGCAGGUUCAUGUCAGCAACCUAACCUUGAGCCCAGCAACUGGGGCCCAGAUUCAAGAUUACAUAACAGCAGGAAUCAUAGCCACAAGAGGAGUUGGGGAAAUGGGGUAUUAUAGAAAGAAGAGCAAGCAGUCCCCUAAAGAAGGUGACCUGGGCAGGCAAGUAAAUGUUCUCUCCAGUGCUCAGAAAUAGAAAAGCCUUAAUAACUUAUACCCAAGGGGCCUAGCAAGCAUCCAUCCCUUCCCACACACCUUCUGUUCAUUGCUUCCACUUCCAUAAUAAAUCAAUUUUACUAAUAUAAUUUAUGACCUACCUUGUGCAAGAAACUAAACUUCACAUAAAUAAAUUGUUUAAUACUCUUCAACUUCUCUGUUACUCAGCUUUCUGUCACUAUGACAAAACACCUAAGACUAGUCCAAUCAAUUUAAAAUGAGGAAGGUUUAUUUUGGCUCAUAGUUUUAGAGAUUUCAGUUACAUGGUUGCUUUUUCCUGUUGCUUUGGGUCUUUGGCAAAACAGCACAUCAUGGUAGGAGCAUGUGGCAAAGGAGAACUUUUCAUUUCAUGGCCAGGAAGCCACUUAUGUUUAUAAGUGAAAAGAGAAUGGGCUAGCAUGCCAAUAUCCCCUUCAAAGGCACACCACCAAUGACCCACCUUCUUUCCACUAAGGCCCCAUGUUUUAAAGGUGCCAUCUCGCACUAACACCACAACUGGAAACCAAGCCUUUUAUACAUAAGCCUAUGGGGGACAUUUAAAUCCAAACCAAGAAGCUUAUAUAAUUCUGUAAUAUUUGAUAUUCAUAUUCCCAGGCCUGACUUUCUCUUUUUUCACAUUUGAAGAAGUAUAUCUUACCCAGAUUUUUAAUUUUUAAUUUUUGUUUUCUUUUUCUGAUAAGCAGAGAAACUUGGACUUAAGAUUUGCUCGUUGUGAUUUGAUCUUUCUUUUUUAAAUUUAUUUAUUUUUUUGAUCUAAUAGUAUUGACAUUUAAUGCUUCAUUAAAGCAUUAAAUUGUAUCACAGAAUUUGCUGCUGCAUUGUAGCAAAAGCACUUUGGGGUACAAACUGAUUCUCACCCACACAAGUGCUCAAGUGCUAGGGGGCUAGGGAGUUAGCUCAGUGGAACAGCACUUGCCUACCAUCCACAAGGCCCUGGGUUAAUACUAAGGGCUAAAGAAAGGAAAAAAGGACAACUGGGGUUUCUAUUAUUAUACUGGCAUAUUAUGGACAUAUACCCUCUGAUUUCCCUUCCUCAUUUCUUUAUUCUUUUGCUCUCCAUUAUUAAAUGCUAUUGUCCCAUUAUUUGGGUGUAAAUAAUUUCAAAUAUUUUACUCUUUUUUAUUUUAAUUUUGGCAAUAUAUUUGCUGCAAUUGUUUGGGCUUAUAUCAAUACAAUCAAUGGCUCUCACUGCUUCCUACCAGUGAGACUGGUUCUUAUCUGAUAGUCUUAUCUGAUAAACUUAUCUGAUAUUCUUGAGUUUCCACCUAUGGUUCAGUGUUUCCUUCCUAUUGGACUUCUCUUUAAGUAAUAUUUUUUCAGAGAGAAUAUGUAGUGUGCAUUUGCAUAAUUUCCAUUGUUCUCCAAAAUAAAUAGCUUGAUUAAAAUUCUUGAAUCACAUGUUUUUCUUUCAAAGCUUU
rnacentral:lncRNA from 1 species